GUGCUCACUUUAGCAGCACAUAUAUUAAAAUUGUCCCAAUACAGAGAAGAUUAUCAUGGACCCUGCACAAAGAUGGCAUGCAGAAUAUUGAAACAAUCCAUAUUUUC